rnacentral:tRNA from 5 species
GGACCGGUAGUCUAGCUGGUUAGGAUGACGCUCUCACAUCGCUAAGGUCAUGGGUUCGACUCCCAUCCGGUCCA